rnacentral:rRNA from 1 species
AUUGAACGCUGGCGGCAGGCCUAACACAUGCAAGUCGAGCGGAUGAAGGGAGCUUGCUCCUGGAUUCAGCGGCGGACGGGUGAGUAAUGCCUAGGAAUCUGCCUGGUAGUGGGGGAUAACGUCUGGAAACGGGCGCUAAUACCGCAUACGUCCUGAGGGAGAAAGUGGGGGAUCUUCGGACCUCACGCUAUCAGAUGAGCCUAGGUCGGAUUAGCUAGUUGGUGGGGUAAAGGCCUACCAAGGCGACGAUCCGUAACUGGUCUGAGAGGAUGAUCAGUCACACUGGAACUGAGACACGGUCCAGACUCCUACGGGAGGCAGCAGUGGGGAAUAUUGGACAAUGGGCGAAAGCCUGAUCCAGCCAUGCCGCGUGUGUGAAGAAGGUCUUCGGAUUGUAAAGCACUUUAAGUUGGGAGGAAGGGCAGUAAGUUAAUACCUUGCUGUUUUGACGUUUCCAACAGAAUAAGCACCGGCUAACUUCGUG